rnacentral:lncRNA from 10 species
UGAAUAUCUGUGUGUGCAAACCUGAUUAUUUAUUUGGGAUAAACUCUAUCAUCCAUAUAAAGAAUGAGUCUGGGACAGAAAUUGGCUGGUUAUACACAAAACCUACUUCCUCAUUCUCCCGGGCACAGGCUAGACUACAUUUCCCAGCCUCUUUUGUAGUUAGGGAUGGCCACAUGACUCAUUUCUGGCCAAUGGAAUGAAGGCGGAAGUGAUGUUUCCAUCCCCACUGGGCCUGGCUGGAAUGCCUCCCGUGUGUGCUCCUCCAUGUUCUUUCUACUUCUUGUAAGAAUCUGUAGAAGCCACGUGUUGAAAAUGGAAGAGUCCCAAGUUGGAAGGAGGUUGGGUGCUUCUAUCACCAUUUGAGGAAGAAUUACCCACUAGCUGAUCAGGGAUCAGCCAUUUUGAACAUUACACAAGCAGGAAAUGAACUUCUAUUGUGCCUCUGCAUCUAGAAGACCAGCACCAAUUUCUACUCAAGGAACAAAAAGAAUCUAUACACAUCACAGAAUAAAUAACCCCACAGAUUACAAAUAACCCAUUCUCCAGGCUCACUGGCCUCAUUCUAUGCCCGGAAACCUCUGUGUCAUUUUGUCUCUAUGUCUCUUUCAUCAGAAAGCAAAAUGCACAAUGUAGCUCUGUUCUGGGAAGAGCUAUGGGUUACUGCAAAUGGAAGCGUCUGACUAUGACUGCCGGACUGCCUGGAGUUUGGGUCAGCAGGGGAUGUCAGCUUUUCAAUCCCUCUCUAAAAGCCCCUUCCCCCAACUAUGCAUUAGGGAGACUUCUCUGUAGCUGGAAGACAGACGCUUAGUGUUCCUUCCUGGAGGCUGCAAGCCCAUCCAUCCUUGUGCUGUGAUUGCCAUCUUGUGGCAGAGAGACAACAAGGCAAUGGGGGAGGACCCAACCAAUGAUGAGCCUCCCAAGAGCACCACGAGAUGAUGGUCAAAAUCAGAGUUCCUUUGUCUGCCCCCACCACCCACCACCAAAAAAAAAAAGCGUCCUGCUCUCUGUUUACCAUUCCCCAAAUCAUAUGCUUUGGGGAUUCUCUGCAACUGGUUUUUUUAUUUAGCUAUUAUAAAAAUGAUACAUGCC